rnacentral:rRNA from 1 species
CCGCGUGAGGGAUGAAGGUCUUCGGGUUGUAAACCUCGUUCAAGCAGGGACGAUAAUGACGGUACCUGCAGAAGAAGCUCCGGCCAACUACGUGC